rnacentral:lncRNA from 1 species
AUAUAUAUAGAGUUGAGCUAGAAUACUCUCGAUAGUAAACGGAGCGUUUUACUAUCGAGUUGUUUUAGAUGAUAGAGCUUCCAAAUUUACGAUCGGUUCCGUUAAAUAUGAUCUAAACCAUUUAAACUAUCUAGAAAUUAAAUUUCACGCACUUUCGAUAUUGUUCUUUUAUCCAUCUAGUGAACAGAAAAUGAAUGGUUGAAAAUAAAUAUUCUUUAAAAAAUGAUGAUAGGAGUCUUGUAAUCAAGAUCAAGAGUAUAGAUCUUGUUUUAAAUAGUUUAAAAAAUUUUCUAACAAAAAUUCAAUUGAUUUGGAUAUCUUUACACCGUUAAACGAGAAAACGUCUCUUAUCCACCAUUAAAAUUACAAAUUUUGAAACCCUUUGAUCAUUAGGCAAAUGAUGUCGAAAGAUUU